rnacentral:rRNA from 1 species
AUGAACGCUGGCGGCGUGCUUAACCCCUGCCAGUCGAACGGAAAGGCUCCUGCUUGCAGGGGUACUCGAGUGGCGAACGGGUGAGUAACACGUGGGUGAUCUGCCCUGCACUUCGGGAUAAGCCUGGGAAACUGGGUCUAAUACCGGAUAGGACCACAUUUUGGAUGGUGUGGUGGAAAGUUUUUCGGUGUGGGAUGAGCUCGCGGCCUAUCAGCUUGUUGGUGGGGUAAUGGCCUACCAAGGCGUCGACGGGUAGCCGGCCUGAGAGGGUGUACGGCCACAUUGGGACUGAGAUACGGCCCAGACUCCUACGGGAGGCAGCAGUGGGGAAUAUUGCACAAUGGGCGCAAGCCUGAUGCAGCGACGCCGCGUGGGGGAUGACGGCCUUCGGGUUGUAAACUCCUUUCGCUAGGGACGAAGCGCAAGUGACGGUACCUGGAGAAGAAGCACCGGCUAACUACGUG